GACGAACGCUGGCGGCAUGCUUAACACAUGCAAGUCGAACGGAAAGGCCCUGCUUUUGUGGGGUGCUCGAGUGGCGAACGGGUGAGUAACACGUGAGUAACCUGCCCUUGACUUUGGGAUAACUUCAGGAAACUGGGGCUAAUACCGGAUAGGAGCUCCUGCUGCAUGGUGGGGGUUGGAAAGUUUCGGCGGUUGGGGAUGGACUCGCGGCUUAUCAGCUUGUUGGUGGGGUAGUGGCUUACCAAGGCUUUGACGGGUAGCCGGCCUGAGAGGGUGACCGGCCACAUUGGGACUGAGAUACGGCCCAGACUCCUACGGGAGGCAGCAGUGGGGAAUAUUGCACAAUGGGCGGAAGCCUGAUGCAGCAACGCCGCGUGCGGGAUGACGGCCUUCGGGUUGUAAACCGCUUUCGCCUGUGACGAAGCGUGAGUGACGGUAAUGGGGAAAGAAGCACCGGCUAACUACGU
rnacentral:rRNA from 1 species